rnacentral:misc_RNA from 1 species
UCAGUCAGCUGUGCACCACUCCUUU